rnacentral:rRNA from 1 species
AUUGAACGCUGGCGGCAGGCCUAACACAUGCAAGUCGAACGAGUGGCGGACGGGUGAGUAAUGUCUGGGAAACUGCCCGAUGGAGGGGGAUAACUACUGGAAACGGUAGCUAAUACCGCAUACCAUCGGAUGUGCCCAGAUGGGAUUGGAUAGUAGGUGGGGUCACGGCUCACCUAGGCGAAGAUACCUAGCUGGUCUGAUAGGAUGACCAGCCACUCUGGAACGGUGACACGGUCCAGACUCCUACGUGAGGCAGCAGUGGGGAAUAUUGCACAAUGGGCGCAAGCCUGAUGCAGCCAUGCCGCGGGUAUGAAGAAGGCCUUCGGGUUGUAAAGUACUUUCAGCGAGGAGGCGUUACUCGCAGAAGAAGCACCGGCUAACUCCGUGCCAGCAGCCGCGGUAAUAC